GAGCUAGAAUAGUACACGCUGCCAUUGUCGGGGACGGGAUUUUCAGUUACACGCCGGCAUCGAUCUCGGCUCGGUGCAACUGGGCUUUCCCGAACCCUCUCUCUUCCGCGAACGUCCGCGAAGGUCCGCGAAACCUCACGUCAAGCCUCGCGUCGGCCGGCUCGCGAAAAUCUCAUCCCUCCGGCCCUCGUCGCGUCGGCUUCGACCCCGCGGAGUACGCCGAGUGACAGACUGGUGGCGCGCCGGCACCUUUCACGUGACGCUCGUCUUCGCCGAGCGGGGUAGUUUCGACGACGUAGUAUCUCUCUCCCUUGCUCCCUCGGCGGGUAACUGCGCUCAGUACGCUCCGGAUAGUCCCUCUUCUCAUCGCGUAUCACGUCCUUGUGCGCCGCGGAGAUAACGAGCAAGCCGUCGGAACUGCACGUCGUAAACGCAGACGUAACGAUCGAAUCGGCUCGCGGUCAUUGCUUAUCGGGGAGAGGCGAAGGCUCCAGGUAACGUCUUCGCGGGCGAGAUCGUCGAGAUUUCAACUUGGAUUGUUUAUUUUCUCCUUCCUCACCUCCUCUUAUUUCAUCCUUUCCUUUUUCGGGUUACCUUACGUUGAAGUUUAUCCCACGACGCAUUGAGCAGAGAGAAAAAGAGAGAAAGACAGAGAGAGAGAGAGAGAGAGAGAGAGAGAGAGAGAGAGAGAAAAAGAGUCCGCCCAUCGGAACAUCGGGGAUCCAUCGAGCCGAUCUAUCGACCUGCAACGACCUGUGCUCGGCUUCCUCGGCCCGUCGCGACGUCAGGGAACCAGAGC